rnacentral:rRNA from 1 species
GAUGAACGCUGGCGGCGUGCCUAAUACAUGCAAGUCGAGCGAACGGACGAGAAGCUUGCUUCUCUGAUGUUAGCGGCGGACGGGUGAGUAACACGUGGAUAACCUACCUAUAAGACUGGGAUAACUUCGUGAAACCGGAGCUAAUACCGGAUGAUAUUUUGAACCGCAUGGUUCAAAAGUGAAAGACGGUCUUGCUGUCACUUAUAGAUGGAUCCGCGCUGCAUUAGCUAGUUGGUAAGGUAACGGCUUACCAAGGCAACGAUGCAUAGCCGACCUGAGAGGGUGAUCGGCCACACUGGAACUGAGACACGGUCCAGACUCCUACGGGAGGCAGCAGUAGGGAAUCUUCCGCAAUGGGCGAAAGCCUGACGGAGCAACGCCGCGUGAGUGAUGAAGGUCUUCGGAUCGUAAAACUCUGUUAUUAGGGAAGAACAUAUGUGUAAGUAACUGUGCACAUCUUGACGGUACCUAAUCAGAAAGCCACGGCUAACUACGUG